UACGUAGGGUGCAAGCGUUAUCCGGAAUUAUUGGGCGUAAAGAGCUCGUAGGCGGUUUGUCGCGUCUGCUGUGAAAACCGGAGGCUCAACCUCCGGCCUGCAGUGGGUACGGGCAAACUAGAGUGCGGUAGGGGGAGAUUGGAAUUCCUGGUGUAGCGGUGGAAUGCGCAGAUAUCAGGAGGAACACCGGUGGCGAAGGCGGGUCUCUGGGCAGUAACUGACGCUGAGGAGCGAAAGCCAGGGGAGCAAACGGG
rnacentral:rRNA from 1 species